rnacentral:rRNA from 1 species
AUGAACGCUAGCGACAGGCUUAACACAUGCAAGUCGAGGGGCAGCACAGGUAGCAAUACCGGGUGGCGACCGGCGCACGGGUGAGUAACGCGUAUGCAACUUGCCUAUCAGAGGGGGAUAACCCGGCGAAAGUCGGACUAAUACCGCAUGAAGCAGGGGCCCCGCAUGGGGAUAUUUGCUAAAGAUUCAUCGCUGAUAGAUAGGCAUGCGUUCCAUUAGGCAGUUGGCGGGGUAACGGCCCACCAAACCGACGAUGGAUAGGGGUUCUGAGAGGAAGGUCCCCCACAUUGGUACUGAGACACGGACCAAACUCCUACGGGAGGCAGCAGUGAGGAAUAUUGGUCAAUGGCCGAGAGGCUGAACCAGCCAAGUCGCGUGAGGGAUGAAGGUUCUAUGGAUCGUAAACCUCUUUUAUAAGGGAAUAAAGUGCGGGACGUGUCCCGUUUUGUAUGUACCUUAUGAAUAAGGAUCGGCUAACUCCGUGCCAGCAGCCGCGGUAAUACGGAGGAUCCGAGCGUUAUCCGGAUUUGUUGGGUUUAAAGGGUGCGUAGGCGGCCUUUUAAGUCAGCGGUGAAAGUCUGUGGCUCAACCAUAGAAUUGCCGUUGAAACUGGGGGGCUUGAGUAUGUUUGAGGCAGGCGGAAUGCGUGGUGUAGCGGUGAAAUGCAUAGAUAUCACGCAGAACCCCGAUUGCGAAGGCAGCCUGCCAAGCCAUUACUGACGCUGAUGCACGAAAGCGUGGGGAUCAAACAGGAUUAGAUACCCUGGUAGUCCACGCAGUAAACGAUGAUCACUAGCUGUUUGCGAUACACUGUAAGCGGCACAGCGAAAGCGUUAAGUGAUCCACCUGGGGAGUACGCCGGCAACGGUGAAACUCAAAGGAAUUGACGGGGGCCCGCACAAGCGGAGGAACAUGUGGUUUAAUUCGAUGAUACGCGAGGAACCUUACCCGGGUUUGAACGCAUUCGGACCGAGGUGGAAACACCUUUUCUAGCAAUAGCCGUUUGCGAGGUGCUGCAUGGUUGUCGUCAGCUCGUGCCGUGAGGUGUCGGCUUAAGUGCCAUAACGAGCGCAACCCUUGCCACUAGUUACUAACAGGUUAGGCUGAGGACUCUGGUGGGACUGCCAGCGUAAGCUGCGAGGAAGGCGGGGAUGACGUCAAAUCAGCACGGCCCUUACAUCCGGGGCGACACACGUGUUACAAUGGCGUGGACAAAGGGAUGCCACCUGGCGACAGGGAGCGAAUCCCCAAACCACGUCUCAGUUCGGAUCGGAGUCUGCAACCCGACUCCGUGAAGCUGGAUUCGCUAGUAAUCGCGCAUCAGCCAUGGCGCGGUGAAUACGUUCCCGGGCCUUGUACACACCGCCCGUCAAGCCAUGGGAGCCGGGGGUACCUGAAGUCCGUAACCGAAAGGAUCGGCCUAGGGUAAAACUGGUGACUGGGGCU